rnacentral:misc_RNA from 1 species
GUUGGGGUUCUUAACAAGCACAUCGACAACAAAAUCUGCCUUCUCUAGAUUGAUUGACAGGAUAUGAAACCCUGUAACAUUCGCAGUUGGCUUACCAAAACCAAUAGUUUCCUCAAUCUUUUCGCCAAUGUCAAGAAUGAAGCCCUUUACAGUGUCAAUAAAUCCACCCUGCCCUUCAUCCUCGUGAUCUUUUUUCUUAACAUCUCU